rnacentral:rRNA from 1 species
GGAGGGGGCAAGCGUUGCUCGGAAUUACUGGGCGUAAAGGGUCCGCAGGUGGCUUUGUGAGUUAGAUGUGAAAGCUCAGGGCUUAACCCUGGAACUGCAUCUAAUACUGCUUAGCUUGAGUACAGGAGAGGUUGGCGGAAUUCCCGGUGUAGCGGUGAAAUGCGUAGAUAUCGGGAGGAACAUCAGUGGCGAAGGCGGCCAACUGGCCUGUUACUGACACUCAGGGACGAAAGCGUGGGGAGCGAACCGGGAUUAGAUACCCGGGUAGUCCACGCCCUAAACGAUGGAUGCUAGGUGUAGGGAUGAAUGUCUCUGUGCCGUAGUUAACGCAUUAAGCAUCCCCGGCUGGGGAUACGAUCGCAAGAUUG